GAUGAACGCUGGCGGCGUGCCUAAUACAUGCAAGUCGAGCGAACAGACGAGGAGCUUGCUCCUCUGACGUUAGCGGCGGACGGGUGAGUAACACGUGGAUAACCUACCUAUAAGACUGGGAUAACUUCGGGAAACCGGAGCUAAUACCGGAUAAUAUAUUGAACCGCAUGGUUCAAUAGUGAAAGACGGUUUUGCUGUCACUUAUAGAUGGAUCCGCGCCGCAUUAGCUAGUUGGUAAGGUAACGGCUUACCAAGGCAACGAUGCGUAGCCGACCUGAGAGGGUGAUCGGCCACACUGGAACUGAGACACGGUCCAGACUCCUACGGGAGGCAGCAGUAGGGAAUCUUCCGCAAUGGGCGAAAGCCUGACGGAGCAACGCCGCGUGAGUGAUGAAGGUCUUCGGAUCGUAAAACGCUGUUAUUAGGGAAGAACAAAUGUGUAAGUAACGAUGCACGUCUUGACGGUACCUAAUCAGAAAGCCACGGCGAACUACGU
rnacentral:rRNA from 1 species